rnacentral:rRNA from 1 species
CCAUGCGCCUACAAGCGGUCGGAGCUCGCAAGAGUGACGGCGUGCCUUUUGCAUAAUGAACCUACGAGUUACUUUUUCCGGCAAGGUUAAGGAUCUUGAGAUCUGCAGCCGAAGCGAAAGCGAGUCUGAACAGGGCGUAUAGUCGGAAGGAGUAGACGCGAAACCAAGUGAUCUACCCUUGAGCAGGUUGAAGGAUGGGUAACACCAUCUGGAGGACCGAACCAAUAAGCGUUGAAAAGCUUCUGGAUGACUUGAGGGUGGGGGUGAAAGGCUAAUCAAACUUGGAGAUAGCUCGUACUCCCCGAAAUGCAUUUAGGUGCAGCCUUGACUUAUACUGGCAUGAGGUAGAGCGACUGAUAAGAUGCGAGGGCUUCACCGCCUAUCAAGUCUUGACAAACUCCGAAUGCGUGUCAGUUCUAUGUCAGGAGUGAGGGCAUGGGUGCUAAGGUCCAUGUCCUAAAGGAGAACAAUCCGGACCAACAGCUAAGGUCCCGAAAUGAAUACUAAGUUGAACUAACGAAGUCAGAUUGCUAAGACAGCUAGGAUGUUGGCUUGGAAGCAGCCAUUCAUUUAAAGAGUGCGUAACAGCUCACUAGUCGAGGAGUUUGGCGUGGAUAAUAAUCGGGCAUUAAGUAUUCUACCGAAGCUUUGGGAUGUUUAAACAUCGGUAGGGGAGCAUUCCACUCUGCGUCGAAGGUGAAGCGUGAGCUUUGCUGGAGCGUGUGGAAAAGCAAAUGUAGGUAUAAGUAACGAUAAAGGGGGUGGGAAACCCCCUCGCCGAAAGACUAAGGUUUCCUGAUCAACGCUAAUCGGAUCAGGGUUAGUCGGGUCCUAAGGGUAAGCCGAACGGUGAUCUCGAUGGACAAUCGGUUAAUAUUCCGAUACUGACAUGAGCCUCGAUGGAGAGACGAAGGAACGUAAGUGACGCCAUCUGACGGAAUAGGUGGUUAAAGGGCGUAGGUAUAGGGAUUGAUUAAGAGUUGAUCCUUGCUGAGACCCGACAGUACGGAGCGGCUACGGCCAAUCCGAUAGUUCACCCAAGUAUACUUCCGAGAAAAUCUUCUAAGUUUAAGUUCAUGUCACCCGUACCGUAAACCGACACAGGUGGUCGAGGAGAGUAUCCUAAGGUGCUCGAGUGAAUCACGGUUAAGGAACUAGGCAAAUUAACCCCGUAACUUCGGGAAAAGGGGUCCCUAUGAAAGUAGGGCGCAGCGAAGAGGUCCAGGCGACUGUUUAUCAAAAACACAGGGCUCUGCAAAUUCGAAAGAAGACGUAUAGGGCCUGACACCUGCCCGGUGCUGGAAGGUUAAGAGGGGAUGUCAUCGCAAGAGAAGCAUUGAAUCGAAGCCCCAGUAAACGGCGGCCGUAACUAUAACGGUCCUAAGGUAGCGAAAUUCCUUGUCGGGUAAGUUCCGACCUGCACGAAUGGUGUAAUGAUCUGGACACUGUCUCAACCGUGAGCUCAGUGAAAUUGUAGUAUCGGUGAAGAUGCCGAUUACCCGCGAUGGGACGAAAAGACCCCGUGAACCUUUACUAUAGCUUAACAUUGAAUUUGGGUAAUUGAUGUGUAGGAUAGGUCGGAGGCUUUGAAGCAGGUACGCCAGUAUUUGUGGAGCCGCUGUUGAAAUACGGCCCUUUGAUUAUUUGAGUUCUAACUCGUAGAUACGAGGACACUGUUUGGUGGGUAGUUUGACUGGGGUGGUCGCCUCCAAAAGCGUAACGGAGGCUUCUAAAGGUGCCCUCAGACCGAUUGGUAACCGGUCGCAGAGUGUAAUGGCAUAAGGGCGCUUGACUGGGAGACUUACAAGUCGAUCAGGUAGGAAACUAGAGCAUAGUGAUCCGGUGUUUCUGUAUGGAAAGGACAUCGCUCAAAGGAUAAAAGGUACUCCGGGGAUAACAGGCUGAUCCCUCCCAAGAGCUCAUAUCGACGGAGGGGUUUGGCACCUCGAUGUCGGCUCGUCACAUCCUGGGGCUGGAGAAGGUCCCAAGGGUUGGGCUGUUCGCCCAUUAAAGUGGCACGCGAGCUGGGUUCAGAACGUCGUGAGACAGUUCGGUCUCUAUCUAUCGUGGGCGUAUGAAAUUUGCGUGGCUCUGACACUAGUACGAGAGGACCGUGUUGGACUGACCUCUGGUUUACCAGUUGUGCCGCCAGGUGCAUUGCUGGGUAUCUAAGUCGGGAUUGGAUAAGUGCUGAAAGCAUCUAAGUACGAAGCCAGCCACAAGAUUAGAUUUCUUAGGGUCGUCAAAGACGAUGACGUUGAUAGGAUGCAGGUGUAAAGGUGGUAACAUCAAAGCCGAGCAUUACUAAUUGCCCGUUCACUUUCUUUC